rnacentral:lncRNA from 10 species
GUCGGAGGUGAGGAGACGUCGCCGGGUGAGGAAGCGGGGGGCUAGCGGCCUGGCGCUGCGGCGACCGACCGGGGCGUCAGGAUCCCUGGCCCCCGGAGAGCGAAGGGCGGGCGGGUCCCGGAGGCACCUUCACUAACCCGGUGCGGAGCACUUGGCGACGCCUCCCUGCCCAUCUCAUAUCUCUCGGCUCAUCGCUGCUCUGGGCACCAGCUGCCUCUUGGCUGGCGCUGCUGUCACACGGUGGACUGUUCUGGCCUUACUGAGCUGCCGUUUGGGGACAUCAGAUUCAGCAAGAAGAAUUGUAUAGAAAUGUAAAAAACAUUUAUGUGUGCUUCACAUGUGGCAUGAAAAAAAUGAGGACCUCUGGUCAAAAUUGCCUGAGUUCAGAAUUUCAUGCUGGAAGGAAAGUUAGACGUAACUUCUAAUUUCUAGUUCCAGUAAGCAUCUCUUCUUGGAAAAUUUCCAAAAAAGAGUCCUGCUCUGUUGCCCAGGCUGGAGUACAUUGGUGUGAUGAUCAUGGUUCACUGCAGCCUCGACCUCCCAGGCUCAAGCAAUUCUCCUACCUCAGCCUCCUGAGUAACUGGGACUAUAGGAUUUCUUUGAAGAAAAAUGUGCUUCUUGAAUCAACUGCAGUCUCUCCUCUGCAUAAGAGCUCUUAAGGGUACUAGCAGGAUAGAAGCAAAUGAAACUGAAAGCUCAUCUGCAGCUCAGAAAAGCAAAGACAUGGAAUUUUAAAGAGUGAAGGUAGCAUGGUGUCGGCCAUGGGUGAACAAGACACAGCCAGACAAUGUGGACCA